GACGAACGCUGGCGGCGUGCUUAACACAUGCAAGUCGAACGGAAAGGCCCUGCUUGCAGGGUACUCGAGUGGCGAACGGGUGAGUAACACGUGGGUGAUCUGCCCUGCACUUCGGGAUAAGCUUGGGAAACUGGGUCUAAUACCGGAUAGGAGCCAUCUUUAGUGUGGUGGUUGGAAAAUUUUUUCGGUGUAGGAUGAGCUCGCGGCCUAUCAGCUUGUUGGUGGGGUAAUGGCCUACCAAGGCGGCGACGGGUAGCCGGCCUGAGAGGGUGUACGGCCACAUUGGGACUGAGAUACGGCCCAGACUCCUACGGGAGGCAGCAGUGGGGAAUAUUGCACAAUGGGCGCAAGCCUGAUGCAGCGACGCCGCGUGGGGGAUGAAGGCCUUCGGGUUGUAAACUCCUUUCGCUAGGGACGAAGCUUUUUUGUGACGGUACCUAGAUAAGAAGCACCGGCUAACUACGUG
rnacentral:rRNA from 1 species